AUUGAACGCUGGCGGCAGGCCUAACACAUGCAAGUCGAGCGAGCGGCGGACGGGUGCGUAAUGUAUGGGGACUGCCCGAUAGAGGGGGAUAACUACUGGAAACGGUAGCUAAUACCGCAUACUAUCGGAUAACCCAGAUGGGAUUAGCUAGUAGGGGAGGUAAUGGCUCACCUAGGCGACGAUCCCUAGCUGGUCUGAGAGGCUGAUCAGCCACACUGGGACUGAGACACGGCCCAGACUCCUACGGAGGCAGCAGUGGGGAAUAUUGCACAAGGGGCGCAAGCCUGAUGCAGCCAUGCCGCGUGUAUGAAGAAGGCCCUAGGGUUGUAAAGGACUUUCAGUCGGGAGGCGUUACCUACAGAAGAAGCACCGGCUAACUCCGUGCCAGCAGCCGCGGUAAUAC
rnacentral:rRNA from 1 species